CCUACGGGUGGCAGCAGUGGGGAAUAUUGGACAAUGGGGGAAACCCUGAUCCAGCCAUGCCGCGUGUGUGAAGAAGGCCCUCGGGUUGUAAAGCACUUUCAGUGAGGAAGAACGCCUGGUGGUUAAUACCCAUCAGGAAAGACAUCACUCACAGAAGAAGCACCGGCUAACUCCGUGCCAGCAGCCGCGGUAAUACGGAGGGUGCGAGCGUUAAUCGGAAUUACUGGGCGUAAAGCGCGCGUAGGUGGCUUGAUAAGCCGGUUGUGAAAGCCCCGGGCUCAACCUGGGAACGGCAUCCGGAACUGUCAAGCUAGAGUGCAGGAGAGGAAGGUAGAAUUCCCGGUGUAGCGGUGAAAUGCGUAGAGAUCGGGAGGAAUACCAGUGGCGAAGGUGGCCUUCUGGACUGACACUGACACUGAGGUGCGAAAGCGUGGGUAGCAAACAGGAUUAGAUACCCGGGUAGUC
rnacentral:rRNA from 1 species